rnacentral:rRNA from 1 species
GUCUUUAUGGUUUUGAUAUAAAGUCUAGCCUGCCCACUGACGGAAGUUUAAGGGCCGCGGUAUAUUGACCGUGCGAAGGUAGCAUAAUGAUUUGUUCUUUAAUUGGGGACUGGUAUGAAUGGUUGAACAAGAAGUUAGCUGUCUCUAACGUAAAGCUUGAAUUUAACUUUUAAGUGAAAAGGCUUAAAUUAACCAGGGGGACGAUAAGACCCUAUAAAUCUUUACAUUUGUGCUUUUAGUGCUAGAAAUUAGAAUUUAUUAUUUAGUGCUAGGGGUGAAAUUGUUUUGUUGGGGCGACAGAAGUAUAAUAGUAACUGCUUUAAAUAUAAUUAUUAAUGGUGUUUAUUUUGUGUUUUAGGUGAUCUUUCAAUGGAAAAUAGUAGAAUAAGUUACUUUAGGGAUAACAGCGUAAUUCCUCUUGAGAGUCCAUAUCGAAAGAGGAGGUUGCGACCUCGAUGUUGAAUUAAAGAUCCUUUGUGGUGUAGGAGUUGCAAAAGGAGGUCUGUUCGACCUUUAAAUCUUUACAUGAUUUGAGUUCAGACCGGUGUGAG